GACGAACGCUGGCGGCGUGCUUAACACAUGCAAGUCGAACGGAAAGGCCCUGCUUUUGUGGGGUGCUCGAGUGGCGAACGGGUGAGUAACACGUGAGUAACCUGCCCUUGACUUUGGGAUAACUUCAGGAAACUGGGGCUAAUACCGGAUAGGAGCUCCUGCUGCAUGGUGGGGGUUGGAAAGUUUCGGCGGUUGGGGAUGGACUCGCGGCUUAUCAGCUUGUUGGUGGGGUAGUGGCUUACCAAGGCUUUGACGGGUAGCCGGCCUGAGAGGGUGACCGGCCACAUUGGGACUGAGGUACGGGCCAGACUCCUACGGGGGGGAGCAGGGGGGAAUAUUGCACAAUGGGCGGAAGCCUUAUGCAGCAACGCCGCGUGCGGGAUGACGGCCUUCGGGUUGUAAACCGCUUUCGCCUGUGACGAAGCGUGAGUGACGGUAAUGGGUAAAGAAGCACCGGCUAACUACGUG
rnacentral:rRNA from 1 species